rnacentral:rRNA from 1 species
UACGGAAGGCAGCAGUGGGGAAUAUUGCACAAUGGGCGAAAGCCUGAUGCAGCUAUGCCGCGUGUAUGAAGAAGGCCUUAGGGUUGUAAAGUACUUUCAUCGGGGAGGAAAAAACAAAACUAAUAAUUUUAUUUCUUGACGUUACCCGAAAAAGAAGCACCGGCUAACUCCGUGCCAGCAGCCGCGGUAAUACGGAGGGUGCUAGCGUUAAUCAGAAUUACUGGGCGUAAAGAGCACGUAGGUGGUUUUUUUAAAGUCAGAUGUGAAAUCCCUGGGCUUAACCUAGGAACUGCAUUUUGAAACUGAAAUACUAGAGUAUCGUAGAGGGAGGUAGAAUUCUAGGUGUAGCGGUGAAAUGCGUAGAUAUCUGGAGGAAUACCUGUGGCGAAAGCGGCCUCCUAAACGAAUACUGACACUGAGGGUGCGAAAGCGUGGGGAGCAAACAGGGAUUAGAUAC